UACGUAGGGGGCGAGCGUUGUUCGGAAUUACUGGGCGUAAAGCGCGUGUAGGCGGCAGGGCAAGUCGGAUGUGAAAUCCCGUGGCUCAACCACGGAAGUGCACCCGAAACUGCCCAGCUAGAGUCUCGGAGAGGAAGGUGGAAUGCUUGGUGUAGAGGUGAAAUUCGUAGAUAUCAAGCGGAACACCGGUGGCGAAGGCGGCCUUCUGGACGAUGACUGACGCUGAGACGCGAAAGCGUGGGGAGCGAACGGG
rnacentral:rRNA from 1 species